UGGGAAUUUUGGACAAUGGGGGCAACCCUGAUCCAGCCAUCCCGCGUGUGCGAUGAAGGCCUUCGGGUUGUAAAGCACUUUUUGGCAGGGAAGAAACAGCCUGGGAUAAUACCCCGGGCGACUGACGGUACCUGCAGAAUAAGCACCGGCUAACUACGUGCCAGCAGCCGCGGUAAUACGUAGGGUGCAAGCGUUAAUCGGAAUUACUGGGCGUAAAGCGUGCGCAGGCGGUUCGGAAAGAAAGGUGUGAAUCCCAGGGCUUAACCUUGGAACUGCACUUUUAACUACCGAGCUAGAGUACGUCAGAGGGGGGUAGAAUUCCACGUGUAGCAGUGAAAUGCGUAGAGAUGUGGAGGAAUACCGAUGGCGAAGGCAGCCCCUGGGAUGAUACUGACGCUCAUGCACGAAAGCGUGGGGAGCAAACAGGAUUAGAUACCCUGGUAGUCCACGCCCUAAACGAUGUCAACUGGCUGUUGGGGUUUAUUAACCUUAGUAGCGCAGCUAACGCGUGAAGUUGACCGCCUGGGGG
rnacentral:rRNA from 1 species